AGCUCCAAUAGCGUAUAUUAAAGUUGUUGCGGUUAAAAAGCUCGUAGUUGGAUUUCUGCUGAGGACGACCGGUCCGCCCUCUGGGUGAGCAUCUGGCUCGGCCUUGGCAUCUUCUUGGGGAACGUUACUGCACUUGAUUGUGUGGUGCGGUAUCCAAGACUUUUACUUUGAGGAAAUUAGAGUGUUUCAAGCAGGCGCACGCCUUGAAUACAUUAGCAUGGAAUAAUAAGAUAGGACGUUGGUUCUAUUUUGUUGGUUUCUAAAGCUGACGUAAUGAUUAAUAGGGAUAGUUGGGGGCAUUCGUAUUUAACUGUCAGAGGUGAAAUUCUUGGAUUUGUUAAAGACGGACUACUGCGAACGCAUUUGCCAAGGAUGUUUUCAUUGAUCAAGAACGAAAGUA
rnacentral:rRNA from 1 species